rnacentral:lncRNA from 1 species
GGAGUGAUGGCUAGGCUGAGGAAUGGUCAUCAUUAGGAUUUGACUUAGGAUUUUAUGUUGGAUUUUGUUUAACUUUAGUUAUGUUCAUUUGGAUCUUUUGGUAUUUGGAAGCUAUUUGGAUAUUGAUCCUUUAAAUUUUAUGUUAGUUCAAAGUUGAGUUUUGGAGAUUUUGAAGUUUGUUUUAGUACUUGAAUUGUUUAAGUUUGCAAUU